GCCACAGAAAUUAAGAUCGACCAAAUUAGUAGUUAGUCUGCAGAAAUUAAGAAAUCUUAUCACAUGUAAGAAAAAGCACUUGAGAAAUUACGAUAGACCAACUUAAUAAUUAGUCAACAGAAAUUAAGAAAUCUUAGUCCACAGCUUAUAAGGAACGGAAGAGUCAGACGACUUUGUCCGCACCACGAAGCACGGACACGCCGGUUUUAUGGCGUAUCCCGUAUCAGAUACGGUUUGGGAUACGACAAGCACACCCGAUACGGCCCAAUACGCAUCGGAUACGUAUCUGAACGUAUCCGUUGACCAGUCGACCUCUGGAUACGUCGUCGAUAAGCUUUCGAUACGCGAAUUCUACUGUCGGGAUACGUUUUCAAGGAUAAUCAGACUAUGGUGGGAGAGACUCUCACCGUGGACCGGCGUCUGCAACUGUGUUGGCUACGUCGUCUACAACAGCAAGGCUGCUGGGUAACUGGGUUUCGAUUUGAACAAUAGAACAGCUAAGGAGAAGAAGCAACCGUAUUUUGGUGGGGAUCUAUUGAGAGAAGCAACGGAGAGAGAGCUUUACAGGUCAAGUCAGUCUUUCUUUUUUUUU
rnacentral:lncRNA from 1 species